rnacentral:rRNA from 1 species
AUUGAACGCUGGCGGCAUGCCUUACACAUGCAAGUCGAACAGUAACAGGUCUUCGGAUGCUGACGAGUGGCGAACGGGUGAGUAAUGCAUCGGAACGUGCCCAGUUGUGGGGGAUAACUGCUCGAAAGAGCAGCUAAUACCGCAUACGACCUGAGGGUGAAAGCGGGGGAUCGCACGACCUCGCGCAAUUGGAGCGGCCGAUGUCAGAUUAGGUAGUUGGUGGGGUAAAGGCCUACCAAGCCGACGAUCUGUAGUUGGUCUGAGAGGACGACCAGCCACACUGGGACUGAGACACGGCCCAGACUCCUACGGGAGGCAGCAGUGGGGAAUUUUGGACAAUGGGCGCAAGCCUGAUCCAGCAAUGCCGCGUGAAGGAAGAAGGCCUUCGGGUUGUAAACUGCUUUUGUCAGGGAAGAAAUCCUCUGGGUUAAUACCCCGGGGGGAUGACGGUACCUGAAGAAUAAGCACCGGCUAACUACGUGCCAGCAGCCGCAGUAACAC